rnacentral:SRP_RNA from 1 species
CCGUGCUAGACGGGGAGCUAGCGGUGCCCUGAACCCGCAAUCCGCUACAGCGGGGUUGAAUCCCUGCCGGAGGGCUGGUUCUUUGGGGACUGCCCUUGUCAAGCGGCGUUGACGAUCUGGUCCUGCGCGGCGAGGCGCUGCGAACCUGGUCAGGCCCGGAAGGGAGCAGCCAUAAGUGGUUUGCUUCGGGUGCCGCAGGUCAACCGGGUCCGAGCUGGCUGGCGAAGAGCAAGCCUGGAGACCAGAUCGAAGGCAGGUGCACGG